rnacentral:sRNA from 1 species
GACCUAACCCUCCAGAUUUUCUGGAGAUAUGGUCAAAAGUCGUAUGAAGCCCAGAGAACCCAUCACGGGGUCGCUUCAUACGCCAUAUCGGGAAACCGGUAUGAGUAGCUUCGGCUACU